rnacentral:rRNA from 1 species
UCCAGUUGAUCCUGCUGGAGGCCGCUGCUAUUGGGAUCCGACUAAGCCAUGCAAGUCCAGGGGUCCUUCGGGACACCGGCAAACUGCUCAGUAACACGUCGAUAAUCUGCCCUCGGGUUCAGGAUAACCUUGGGAAACUGAGGCUAAACCUGAAUAGGGGAAUUCUACUGGAAUGUGUUUUCCUUUAAAGGUGACGCCCGAGGAUGAGUUGGCGGCGGAUUAGCUUGUUGGUGGGGUAAUGGCCCACCAAGGCGAUGAUCCGUAGGGGCCUUGAAAGAGGUAGCCCCGAGAAGGGCACUGAGAUACUGGCCCUAGCCCUACGGGGUGCAGCAGGCGCGAAACCUUUACACUACACGAAAGUGUGAUAAGGGGAUCCCAAGUGCCUAUACUCUGUAUAGGCUUUUUUUCAAAAGUAAAGAUUUUGGAGAAUAAGUGGUGGGAAAGACUGGUGCCAGCAGCCGCGGUAAUACCAGCGCCACAAGUAGGGGCCAUGGUUAUUGGGCCUAAAGCGUUCGUAGCAGGCUAUGUAAAUCUCUUGUGAAAUCGUUGGGCUUAACCUAACGGCGUGCAGGAGAGACUGCGUAGCUCGAGACCGGGAGGGGUAAGAGGUAUUUCUGGGGGAGCGGUAAAAUGCUAUAAUCCCAGGAGGACCACCUGUGGCGAAGGCGUCUUACCAGAACGGUUCUGACUGUGAGGAACGAAAGCCAGGGGAGCAAACCGGAUUAGAUCGACCUUUUGCAAAAAGGUCGAACAAAAGCAUUUAAGUGCAAUAUUUCGUUUCACGAAAAUUGCACGAACUAAGUUUGCAUUUACUACUAUCAGUUAAGUGUUUUUGUUCAGUUCAUGUGCAAAAGAGUCCUAAAUACCCGAGUAGUCCUGGCCGUAAACGCUGUGAGCAAGGUGUUGCAUAUUCUAACAUGGAUAUGCAGUGUCGAAACGAAGGUGUUAAGCUCACCGCCUGGGAAGUACGGUCGCAAGAUUGAAACUUAAAGGAAUUGGCGGGGGAGCACUACAAGGGGUGCGGCGUGCGGUUUAAUUGAACUCAACACCGGAAAUCUCACCAGGAGCGACGGCAGAAUGAAAGUCAGUCUAACGGGCUUACUUAACAAGCCGAGAGGUGGUGCAUGGCCGCCGUCAGCUCGUGCCGUAAGGUGUCCUGUUAAGUCAGGCAACGAGCGAGACCUGCAUCUACAAUUGCCAUCAGCUCUAUCAGAGGACUGAGCACAUUGUAGAGACUGCCUGGGAAACCAGGAGGAAGGUGCAGGCUACGGUAGGUCUGUAUGCCCCGAAUCCCCUGGGCUACACGCGCGCAACAAUGGUAGGGACAAUGGGAUGCAACUCUGAAAAGAGAAGCUAAUCCUCGAAACCCUAUCUUAGUUCAGAUCGAGGGCUGCAACUCGCCCUCGUGACGUCGGAAUCCCUAGUAAUCGGAUGUCAUCAGCAUCCGGUGAAUACGUCCCUGCUCCUUGCACACACCGCCCGUCAAGCCACCCGAGCAGGGUUUGGGUGAGGCCUAGCCUAUUAGUUAGGUCGAACUUAGGCUCAGUGAGGAGGGCUAAGUCGUCACAAGGUA